GUUGCAAUAGAUAAGGGUAAUAUAUAAGGUUCAGCAGCAGAGUGGUUGAUCAAGAAUUAGAGGAGAAGCAAGAGAGGAUUAGAGGAACUUUUGAAACCAGCCACUGCUUUGGGACAAAGAUUGAAAAUGGGACUUAAAGGAAUCUUGAUGAUACUACUAAUGCUAAAUGCAAAUACAACGCUGACGACUGCACAGGCAAUGACUACAGCUGCUCCAACCACAACAACCACAGCUGCUCCAACCACAACCACAACCACAGCUGCUCCAACCACAACA